GAGAAGAAUUACGUGGACCCUGCUCUGUUCGAAAUGCUUAUGCCUUCGGAGAAGGUCGAAGAAAGAAACAUACCAAAGUCUUCAAGUAGUAAUAGUGAUGGUUUUAGCUCCGAAGUGAUUAAAGGCUCCGAAAGUACGUCCUAACGAGCUGAAAACAGAGGAACACAUUCUUGUGGGGGUUGUUUCGUGUAUGUAUGAGAAAAUGUGAAGAGCUUCUUUUCUUUCGCGGGGGUAAGAGAUGUAAAUAGUCUCGACGAAUCGGGGCAAAAGUAAUGAAAUUACAAUUAGCACAACCGCUGAUCCCGACGGUUGUCUGAAUGUGAAUUCCUCUGCCCUGGACCAAGCAAAAGGGAUUCAAGCGAAUUCGUUUGAACAGUUCCCUAGUUUUUUGAAACAGUUGCUUAAAUCGCAUCUGUCUGGAAAAUUUUAUUUGGGUUUACCAAAGAAAUUUUGUGAUGCACAUUUGCCAAGCCACGAUGGAAGUAUUAUAUUGGUUGACGAAAACGAUCAAGAAUACAAUACAAAGUACUCUGUUCGAAAAAAUAGACUUGAGUGGUGGUUGGAGGGGUUUCUCCAUUGAACACAAAUUGCUAGAGGGCGACGCGUUAGUAUUCCAUCUGAUUGAGCCUUGCAAGUUUAGGGUAUACAUUGUGAGAGCAGGCAAAAUAACAGAAAACGAAGGGGCAAUCGGCCUUCAGACUUAUGAUUUUGAGAACAUUAAGCCAAUUAGUGCCGCGAAAAUGGAAGACCAAAUGGAAGAAAAUGCAUGUACUGGAAAAACAGCAAGGCAGCUGUACCUAAACUCUCUUGAAGUAGUAGAUAGCCAUCACGAAACAAAAAAAGGCAAGAUUAACACCCGGCAGUGAAAUUCACAUGCAUCACUCUGCCAAUAGCAUCGAUCAAUUUAAAGAUAUAAGUGGUUUUGAGGAUUUCAAGAUCCAUUUGGGUGGCCUAAUUCUCGACUCGGAGAUACCUAAAAAUAUCAGAGCAAAAUAUUACAACCUCUGCUGCAGUCAAAGAAUGUUUCUGCUCGACCACCUUAUAAAUGGCCUCAGCACAAAGUUAGCCGUUGUAAUGAUUUCCGAAACUACCAAUAUAUCCGAAGCUGUGAGAUCUGCUGACGUGUCGACUUCUCUUCAUCAUUUGGAAUGCUGGGAAAAGACUUUCAAAGCUUUCGAGGAUUUAGGAAUGGCCGUCGGAUUUAUACGCAAUAGGCUGCAUAAAUUACUGGAAAUUUCGCGCGAAGCACAAUCGAAUAACGAGUCGAAGAUGAUAGUGAGAGCGCAAGCUGAUCAUGUGAGCGGUAAUCUUGAGACUACUUCUUUGAAUGUCGAAGCACUUAUAGGAAGUCUAGAGGCCGAAAUCGAGACUCUCAGAUGGAAAAACGAGAAGCUCGGAUUUGAAUUCCGUGAGCUUGCUCGAGCUCCAUGGUAGAAAAGAAUGUUACAUUAUGCAAAGGUGGAUACAGAUAACCUUGAUUUACGAGCAUAACUCGCGUUUUUUAGUGGUGGUUUAUUAUUAUUAUUAUUAUUUUUACUUUUUUGGUUAGAAGUUUUAUAUAAAACAGCUAAUGUACAGAAGAACCGUAGCGUAAAUUUUUUUUUAAUAUAUAUAACUUGUCGAAAAUAAAUGUAUUGAUGUUAUAUGUUUAUUUAUAUGUAAUGUAGGAAAUUGAACUUCAGAGGUUGUCUUGAGUUGGCCUGAA